GGAGCAUGUGUUUUAUUUGAUGCAACGCGAAGAACCUUACCUACUCUUGACAUCCAGAGAACUUACCAGAGAUGGAUUGGUGCCUUCGGGAACUCUGAGACAGGUGCUGCAUGGCUGUCGUCAGCUCGUGUUGUGAAAUGUUGGGUUAAGUCCCGCAACGAGCGCAACCCUUAUCCUUUGUUGCCAGCGGUUAGGCCGGGAACUCAAAGGAGACUGCCAGUGAUAAACUGGAGGAAGGUGGGGAUGACGUCAAGUCAUCCAUGGCCCUUACGAGUAGGGCUACACACGUGCUACAAUGGCGCAUACAAAGAGAAGCGACCUCGCGAGAGCAAGCGGACCUCAUAAAGUGCGUCGUAGUCCGGAUUGGAGUCUGCAACUCGACUCCAUGAAGUCGGAAUCGCUAGUAAUCGUGGAUCAGAAUGCCACGGUGAAUACGUUCCCGGGCCUUGUACACACCGCCCGUCACACCAUGGGAGUGGGUUGCAAAAGAAGUAGGUAGCUUAACCUUCGGGAGGGCGCUUACCACUUUGUGAUUCAUGA
rnacentral:rRNA from 1 species